GUUUGGCCACCUGAAAGCGAGCUUGAGAUCCGCCAGCUCGCUGUCUUUGAGCUUCAGGUCGUCCUCCAGCUUCUCGACGAUCACCGAGUACGACUCGCUGACCUUCUUCUUCCACUCAUCUUCACAGGCCGACAACGGGCGGUCCAGAUAAAGGGGGAUCAUGACUGGGCUAAAAAUAAACACCUCGGAGUGGAAUGCCUGACAACUAGGACAACUGAUCUCCCUCCAAAUGUGAGGAAGUGUGUGUGUGUGUGUUGGUGUCCUGUGCUGCAUUAUACAUACAACCUUAUUAUGAUCAGAAUAAAGGCCUUUAUUAGA